rnacentral:rRNA from 1 species
UGGGGAAUAUUGCACAAUGGGCGCAAGCCUGAUGCAGCCAUGCCGCGUGUAUGAAGAAGGCCUUCGGGUUGUAAAGUACUUUCAGCGGGGAGGAAGGUGUUGUGGUUAAUAACCUCAGCAAUUGACGUUACCCGCAGAAGAAGCACCGGCUAACUCCGUGCCAGCAGCCGCGGUAAUACGGAGGGUGCAAGCGUUAAUCGGAAUUACUGGGCGUAAAGCGCACGCAGGCGGUCUGUCAAGUCGGAUGUGAAAUCCCCGGGCUCAACCUGGGAACUGCAUCCGAAACUGGCAGGCUUGAGUCUUGUUGAGGGGGGUAGAAUUCCAGGUGUAGCGGUGAAAUGCGUAGAGAUCUGGAGGAAUACCGGUGGCGAAGGCGGCCCCCUGGACAAAGACUGACGCUCAGGUGCGAAAGCGUGGGGAGCAAACA